AGAGACAGGUAGACAGACAGGUAGACAGACAGGGAGACAGACAGGUAGAGAGGUAGGCAGACAGACAGGGAGACAGACAGGUAGACAGACAGGCAGACAGACAGGGAGACAGACAGGUAGACAGACAGGUAGACAGACAGGGAGACAGACAGGUAGAGAGGUAGGCAGACAGACAGGGAGACAGACAGGUAGACAGACAGGGAGACAGACAGGUAGAGAGGUAGGCAGACAGACAGGGAGACAGACAGGUAGACAGACAGGGAGACAGACAGGGAGACAGACAGGUAGACAGACAGGUAGAGAGGUAGGCAGACAGACAGGGAGACAGACAGGUAGACAGACAGGCAGACAGACAGGGAGACAGACAGGUAGAGAGGUAGGCAGACAGACAGGUAGACAGACAGGUAGACAGACAGGGAGACAGACAGGUAGCA